rnacentral:rRNA from 1 species
GGGCCCGCACAAGCGGUGGAGCAUGUGGUUUAAUUCGAUGAUACGCGAGGAACCUUACCAGGGCUUAAAUGUAGUGGGACAGGUCUAGAGAUAGACCCUUCUUCGGACUCAUUACAAGGUGCUGCAUGGUUGUCGUCAGCUCGUGCCGUGAGGUGUCAGGUUAAGUCCUAUAACGAGCGCAACCCCUAUCGUUAGUUGCCAGCGGGUAAUGCCGGGAACUCUAGCGAAACUGCCGGUGCAAACCGUGAGGAAGGUGGGGAUGACGUCAAAUCAUCACGGCCCUUACGUCCUGGCUACACACGUGCUACAAUGGCUAGGACAGACGGCCGCAAACCCGCGAGGGGGAGCCAA